rnacentral:rRNA from 1 species
AUCUAUAGCCAUACUACCCUGAAUGCGCCUGAUCUCGUGAAACUAAGCAGGGUUGGGCCUGGUUAGUACUUGGAUGGGAGACUGCCCUGAAAUACCGGGUGCUGUAGGCU